GCCUCAGUGGUGUAGUGGUAGCACGCGUCCCUAGUAUGGAUGAAACACGACGGGUUCAACUUCCGCCUGAGAUC